rnacentral:tRNA from 1 species
GGAGGUAUAGCUCAGUGGUAGAGCGCACGCUUAGUAUGCACGAGGUCCUGGGUUCAGUCCCCAGUACAUCCU